CCGACCCUCGGCGGGCGCUCGCCCCCUGCGCGGCUGCGCCACCGUCACCCGUGCCUCUGCCGGACCGCCGCCCAUAGCGCUCAGGCAGAUCCGCCACCGCGCCACGCGCCUAGGCCUGCCGGCGGCCGCGCGCCCCCUCCUCUGCUCCUCUGCCUCGGCUGCACGGCGGCGCCCGCGGGCCGCUCGCCCCUGUGCUGCCCCCUGCCUCUGUAGCGCCGCCGCCGCCAGUCGCGUAGGUCCGCCACGCGGCCACGACGGCGACUUCAAUUGCUUCCUACAACUCAAAGAUGUCUCAGUGUGAGGAAGAUGACCAAGUUGUUGAUUGGACAUUGGAACCGGAGGAGCAAAUGAAUGAAGAUCCCUCGAGUAAGGGAGGAGCUGUUGGUGUUGAUGGGAACAAAUACAUAAUAUCUUUCUGAAAAUACAGAGGUGUUAAGUAAAUAUCAAGAAUAACUGAUUGAGGAGUUCAAGAAUUUGGCUAUUGUUGAUGGUCAUGCUGCCAAGUCAUCAAUUCAAGGCAGCAAAAGCAAGAUGGUUACCGCCACCAACAUCACGUCCCAACCAACAAAAACCUCCAACACCACAAAAACCUCAAACACCAAAUGAAGCAAGAGCAAUUUGAGCAAGCCCCCUAGGCCUCCAUCUAAAUGAUCAUGUCUAAGAACAAAUGAAGGUGAGUGAUCAAGUGAUGCUUGCUGCUGCAAACUGUGCUGGACGCCUGGACUUCCUAUGUUUUUAGUGCUUGUUGCUGCAAACUGUGCCGUUUUUCUUAAUGCUUCCUGUCUUUCUUUAUUUAUGUGAAGUGUGUUGGCGUUGCUGCCUUGUUGGCAUUGGCAGUGCUGCUGUGCGGCUGCCCAAGUGUCCCAUUUGAAUAAAUAUGUUGUAUUUGAGUGGUGAGAACAUAGCACUUCUAAGUGUUCCAGUGGAUCUGCUGUGGACAACUAUAUAUUAUGUAUCUGUGUCUAUCUAUUUGUUUGAUUUGGCACUGUUAUUUUA